rnacentral:rRNA from 1 species
UACGUAGGGUCCGAGCGUUGCUCGGAAUUACUGGGCGUAAAGGGCGCGUAGGCGGGAUGGCAAGUCGGUCGUGAAAUACCUCGGCUCAACUGAGGAGCGUCGAUCGAAACUGCCGUUCUUGAGGGUUGCAGAGGAGACUGGAAUUCCCGGUGUAGCGGUGAAAUGUGUAGAGAUCGGGAGGAACACCGGUGGCGAAGGCGGGUCUCUGGGCAAUUCCUGACGCUGAGGCGCGAAAGCGUGGGGAGCAAACGGG